rnacentral:lncRNA from 1 species
AUUGAUCCCAUGAGAAUAUACAACUUUAAGUAGAGAACUUAGAGAUACCAAUGCAUUUUUCAUUACAAUUCUUAAUUUUUCUGGGAAUAUUAUACUUUCCCCUUGAGUCUUCUUACAAGGACAGGAAAAGCCAUGGAAUCAGUUACAAAAUUGUCUAGUCGCUUCUUUUGAAUAAAUUUGAAGUGCAUAUUCUGAGUUUUCGAAUGAAGCCGGGUGGGAGAAGAUUUCCUUACUUGUUUCUUGUAUUGAAUACAUUUGCAGUGCAUAUUCUGAGUUUUUGGAUGAAGUCGGGUGGGAGAAGAUUUCUUUACUUGUUUCGAGUACGGGAUUAGAACAGAGAAGGAAAAAAGUGAUUUCUUAUACUCGUGCUAUUGUCAUUCUUACAUCCAAUUAAUCGAAUAUCAUGUUGUUUUUAUUGCUUACUCAAAGAAAUUUUGUUGUAUGGUAACCAGCA